rnacentral:rRNA from 1 species
CCUACGGGAGGCAGCAGUGGGGAAUAUUGCACAAUGGGGGAAACCCUGAUGCAGCGACGCCGCGUGAGCGAUGAAGUAUUUAGGUAUGUAAAGCUCUAUCAGCAGGGAAGAAAAUGACGGUACCUGACUAAGAAGCCCCGGCGAACUACGUGCCAGCAGCCGCGGUAACACGGAGGGGGCGAGCGUUAUCCGGAUUUACUGGGUGUAAAGGGAGCGUAGACGGCGGUGCAAGCCAGUUGUGAAAGCCCGGGGCUCAACCGCGGGACUGCAUUUGAAACUGUGCGUCUAGAGUGUCGGAGAGGCAGGCGGAAUUCGUGGUGUAGCGGUGAAAUGCGUAGAUAUUAGGAAGAACUCCGGUGGCGAAGGCGGCCUACUGGACUGUGACUGACGUUGAGGCUCGAAAGCGUGGGGAGCAAACAGGAUUAGAUACCCGAGUAGUC